AUGCUCUUACUACAAUGUAUGGGCAGGAAGAAAUUCCUGCACAAGGGUUUGUACCAGGCCUGCUGGGAACAUCAGAUGGAGCCCUGCAGUUCAUGGCCUACAAGAAACUGAAAUGGACUUUACAAGCAUUUCCAUCGACCCAGUGACACAAAACCGGAAAGAAGAGUUCCAUGGAGUCUACUAGAGCAAUGUCUUCAGCAUUAUCCCAGUGACCUCCGCCUGCGGAAUCGCCUUAGUGGCUUAAAUUCUACUUUCAUUUUCCUGGAAGAGACCACAGUGC